UUGAUUAAUGGCAACUAUAUAUGAUUUAUGGCAAUUAAUUUAUGGCUAUAUCCUCUUUCUCUUGAAAAUGAGACAGAGAGAGAACAGCACCUUUCUUACAUCAAAGCUAAUAACAGAAGUGAUGUGGGAAUGAGGACUCUUAGCAGCCUCCUUGCUAAGUUUGAGCAAACGGCAAACCUCAGGAAGAUAUCUGCUCUCUCCGCUUAUGGAAAAUGAGUAGUAAUGUAUCAAGAUUGAUGGCUUAUUUCAUCUGGAUGGGUUUUCCAGAGAGUUGAUCCAGCAAUGGACCAUAAAGACUAUGGUAUCCAGUAAAGUCUCUUGGCUGUCAUGUUUCCCUCCUCUCUGCUUCCAGGACACCUCUGUUUACAUCUUCCAGGUCACAGGAGGGCAGGGAGAACUCAGCCUUUCCCAACUCUGUCUGCAGUGGCUCCAAGUUUGAUUGGCAUGCCAUGUUUCCCGUUUUGAAGAAUUAUUUAAAAAAAGACAGAAUGUGCUGCCUACCCCACCGUUAUGAGGCCACUUCGUGCGAGCCAAAAUGGAAGGAAAAUCAGAUUGGUGCUUAGCAGGGGAGAGGCCGAGGGGAGUCGCUACUGACGGGCGGCAAUGCUGCAGAGAUGUGGCUCCCGAUGAGCUGAGGCCAGAAAGGGUGAGAAGGAAUGAUAUCUUUAGAAAAAUAAAAUAAAAUCAACGGUCAACUUAAAGGUCAACUUCUCUUGCCUUUUAAGAAGGCAGAUAAGGAAAGUCUCUGGACAGGUGUAGUUGCCUUUGGUAGGAGCAACCCAUGUCUCUUAUUUUUGAAAAGGCUUUUUUUCUUCUUUUUUCUU